rnacentral:rRNA from 1 species
CAGUAGCCGCGGUAAUACGUAGGUGGCAAGCGUUGUCCGGAAUUAUUGGGCGUAAAGGGCUCGCAGGCGGUUUCUUAAGUCUGAUGUGAAAGCCCCCGGCUCAACCGGGGAGGGUCAUUGGAAACUGGGAAACUUGAGUGCAGAAGAGGAGAGUGGAAUUCCACGUGUAGCGGUGAAAUGCGUAGAGAUGUGGAGGAACACCAGUGGCGAAGGCGACUCUCUGGUCUGUAACUGACGCUGAGGAGCGAAAGCGUGGGGAGCGAACAGGAUUAGAUACCCCUGUAGUCCCUGUCUUUUAUAC